GGUCCGGUGGCUUAAUUGGUAGGGCGUCUGGCUUCGAUUGAUUUCACAAAUAGAGAAAUCCCCAAUAAGGUUACGAAAUUUUAUCAAAAUCUUGCGGGCUCGAGUCCCGUCUGGAUCG